AGAAUCAACGCUGGCGGCGUGCCUAACACAUGCAAGUCGCACGAGAAAGGGGAGCAAUCCCUGAGUAAAGUGGCGCACGGGUGAGUAACACGUGAAUCAUCUACCUCCGAGUGGGGAAUAACUGAGAGAAAUCUUAGCUAAUACCGCAUAACACUUACGAGUCAAAGCAGCAAUGCGCUUGGAGAGGAGUUCGCGGCAGAUUAGUUAGUUGGCGGGGUAAUGGCCCACCAAGACGAUGAUCUGUA
rnacentral:rRNA from 1 species